UACGAAGGGGGCUAGCGUUGUUCGGAAUCACUGGGCGUAAAGCGUAUGUAGGCGGAUCAGAAAGUUAGAUGUGAAAUCCCUGGGCUUAACCCAGGAACUGCAUUUAAAACUAAUGAUCUAGAAAUUGGUAAAGGUUAGUAGAAUUUCCAGUGUAGAGGUGAAAUUCGUAGAUAUUGGAAAGAAUACCAGAAGCGAAGGCGACUAACUAGGCCAUUUUUGACGCUGAGAUACGAAAGCGUGGGUAGCAAACAGG
rnacentral:rRNA from 1 species